rnacentral:rRNA from 1 species
ACACGAAGUGAGUGCGAACGGGUGAGUAACACGUGGGUAACCUGCCCAGAAGUAGGGGAUAACACCUGGAAACAGAUGCUAAUACCGUAUAACAGAGAAAACCGCAUGGUUUUCUUUUAAAAGAUGGCUCUGCUAUCACUUCUGGAUGGACCCGCGGCGUAUUAGCUAGUUGGUGAGGUAAAGGCUCACCAAGGCAGUGAUACGUAGCCGACCUGAGAGGGUAAUCGGCCACAUUGGGACUGAGACACGGCCCAGACUCCUACGGGAGGCAGCAGUAGGGAAUCUUCCACAAUGGACGCAAGUCUGAUGGAGCAACGCCGCGUGAGUGAAGAAGGGUUUCGGCUCGUAAAGCUCUGUUGUUAAAGAAGAACGUGGGUAAGAGUAACUGUUUACCCAGUGACGGUAUUUAACCAGAAAGCCACGGCUAACUACGUGCCAGCAGCCGCGGUAAUACGUAGGUGGCAAGCGUUAUCCGGAUUUAUUGGGCGUAAAGCGAGCGCAGGCGGUCUUUUAAGUCUAAUGUGAAAGCCUUCGGCUCAACCGAAGAAGUGCAUUGGAAACUGGGAGACUUGAGUGCAGAAGAGGACAGUGGAACUCCAUGUGUAGCGGUGAAAUGCGUAGAUAUAUGGAAGAACACCAGUGGCGAAGGCGGCUGUCUGGUCUGCAACUGACGCUGAGGCUCGAAAGCAUGGGUAGCGAACAGGAUUAGAUACCCUGGUAGUCCAUGCCGUAAACGAUGAUUACUAAGUGUUGGAGGGUUUCCGCCCUUCAGUGCUGCAGCUAACGCAUUAAGUAAUCCGCCUGGGGAGUACGACCGCAAGGUUGAAACUCAAAAGAAUUGACGGGGGCCCGCACAAGCGGUGGAGCAUGUGGUUUAAUUCGAAGCUACGCGAAGAACCUUACCAGGUCUUGACAUCUUCUGACAGUCUAAGAGAUUAGAGGUUCCCUUCGGGGACAGAAUGACAGGUGGUGCAUGGUGUCGUC